rnacentral:rRNA from 1 species
AUUGAACGCUGGCGGCAGGCCUAACACAUGCAAGUCGAACGAGUGGCGGACGGGUGAGUAAUGUCUGGGGAACUGCCUGAUGGAGGGGGAUAACUACUGGAAAAGGUAGCUAAUACCGCAUACAAUCAGAUGUGCCCAGAUGGGAUUAGCUAUGAGGUGGGGUAACGGCUCACCUAGGGGACUAGCCCUAGCUGGUCUGAGAGGAUGACCAACCACACUGGGACUGAGACACGGUCCAGACUCCGACGUGAGUCGGCAGUGGGGAAGAUUGCACCAUGGGCGCAAGCCUGAUGCAGCCAUGCCGCGUGUAUGAAGAAGGCCUUCGGGUUGUAAAGUACUUUCAGCGGGGAGGCGUUACCCGCAGAAGAAGCACCGGCUAACUCCGUGCCAGCAGCCGCGGUAAUUC